AAUAGGCUUGGUAACGUAGCUAACGCGUGAAGUUGACCGCCUGGGGAGUACGGUCGCAAGAUUAAAACUCAAAGGAAUUGACGGGGACCCGCACAAGCGGUGGAUUAUGUGGAUUAAUUCGAUGCAACGCGAAAAACCUUACCUACCCUUGACAUGUCGAAAAGUUUUCAGAGAUGAAUUCGUGCCCGAAAGGGAAUUUGAACACAGGUGCUGCAUGGCUGUCGUCAGCUCGUGUCGUGAGAUGUUGGGUUAAGUCCCGCAACGAGCGCAACCCUUGUCAUUAAUUGCCAUCAUUUAGUUGGGCACUUUAAUGAGACUGCCGGUGACAAACCGGAGGAAGGUGGGGAUGACGUCAAGUCCUCAUGGCCCUUAUGGGUAGGGCUUCACACGUAAUACAAUGGCGCGUACAGAGGGUUGCCAACUUGUGAGAGGGAGCUAAUCUCAGAAAGCGCGUCGUAGUCCGGAUCGGAGUCUGCAACUCGACUCCGUGAAGUCGGAAUCGCUAGUAAUCGCGGAUCAGCAUGUCGCGGUGAAUACGUUCCCGGGUCUUGUACACACCGCCCGUCACACCAUGGGAGUGGGUUUCACCAGAAGCAGGUAGUCUAACCGUAAGGAGGGCGCUUGCCACGGUGAGAUUCAUGACUGGGGUG
rnacentral:rRNA from 1 species